rnacentral:tRNA from 1 species
GGGUGGAGCUCAGUGGUAGAGUGUGUGCUUAGCAUGCACGAGGUCCUGGGUUCAAUCCCCAGUCCCUCCA